CUGCAGAAGCCAUCCUAGGUAUUGCAGAGGGACUUUAAAUAGGCGAUGGAAGAGUUGAGAGGCCAGAGAAGAGUGAGAAGCCACUAUCAGCUCUGGGGCUAGAGAGACGCAGAGAGAAGGCAGUUACAGGAGCCCUGGUUCUGGGGCUGCUUGGGAGACCUGGGAUCCACGACAGCACUUCCAGGAGAAAUCAGGCACCAUGGAGAGAGGGUUGUACAGCAGGCUCUGGAGACGUGGACCUGACGCUGCCAGACACACAGAUCUGAAGCAGAGGAAAGGGGAAGAGAUAACCUGGCUUCUGCCCUCUUAUUUUCCGGUGUUCCAUCACUGGCUCUCUUUGACCAGGUCCAUAAGCAAGCCUGGGACAAGUAACUCCAAGGGAUGCAAAACUCAAGAUUGAGGAUGGUAGAGAAUAGAUCUGAGAGCAAACAGACAAAAGACCAACAUGCAUAGCUUAAAAUAAAUUACACAAAUAGCAUCAUGGUAUGUGCAGUGUUCUAAAUUUAUCAUAUCGUUUUUGUAGGGACAAAACCUGGAUGAAAUGAACAUUGAGAGCAGGCUUGACCCGCAAGAUCGAGGAUACAGCAGCAGAGCACAGAGGCAGGCGGCAGAAGACAGAUGUGUUGUUACAGGAGAAAUGCACUCUCAGCUAAAGGAAAGAACCACAGCAAUGGGGGAAGAGAAGGAAAGAACAGAAGCUGGCUCUGAUGCACUCAUUCCACCAUCCAUAAAUGAUCUUUUCAUGAGGACACAGCCGAUAAGGAGAGAAAGAAAGACAAAAAGCAUUCUUGACUGUGGAAUGGAAUAGCAGCUCCCCCUCUGUGUCUGAUUCAGUUGCUCAGAAUGGCUUUCUUAUGGCUGCGCCUCUUGUGAAUUAUGAGUCUCUCUCCCUUUCUCUUCCCCCCAGGCUUCAUAUUAAAGACAAGAUGCAGCUGCCAGGGCCUCCAGAGAUUUCCCAGCAGUCUACUAUGGUGAAAUAAAAUACCAUGUUAUGCUGGAAAACUAGCCAGUCCUUUUUUCACAUGGGCUGUGCUAUCUCAUGGCCUGGAUAAAGGAUUCCAGGCCUGGACACUUACCACUUUUUCUGAGAUUUGUGGGAUGACCUUCUGACGACAAUACUCAAUCUUUCUGUGUUUCAGCUUCCUAGCAUGAUAUUUAUAAUUACCUCCUAAAGAGACUAUAUAUAUUUGUAUACCAUUGGAGCAACUAUUUUGCUUCCAAGGAGGGAGAGGUUCUGUGGCCCUGUUGCCACAGAUGAUUUGGGACUUUGAUAGACUUGCAAUCUUCUUUAUUUGCAUCUUUUGUGUCAUUACUACCAGAAGGAUUACACUAUACAAAUGGGCUGAGGUUUAUACAUAAUGAUUGGUUGAACUGCUUCUGAUAUUUCAAUCUUAGCUUUAUCUGCCCAGAAGAAAAUGGAUCCAGCUAAAAUAGGUUUGUAACCUUACAUGGAGAUUUGAAGUACGCUAGUGAAAUGUUGCAGAGAAGGCAAUGGCACCCCACUCCAGUACUCUUGCCUGGCAAAUCCCAUGGACGGAGGAGCCUGGUAGGCUGCAGUCCAUGGGGUCGCUAGGAGUCCGACACAACUGAACGACUUCACUUUGACUUUUCACUUUCAUGCACUAGAGAAGGAAAUGGCAACCCACUCCAGUGUUCUUGCCUGGAGAAUCCCAGGGACGGGGGAGCCUGGUGGGCUGCCAUCUAUGGGGUCGCACAGAGUCGGACACGACUGAAACGACUUAGCAGCAGCAGCAGCAGCAGCAGCAGCAGCAGCAGCAGCAGCAGCAGCAGCAGCAGCAGCAGUGAAAUGUUGGAGUAUGCUGCUGAAAUCAAACUGAAGACUGUCUUUAGUUGAACAGUUAAAACCCUACCACAGACUGAGGCUGAAAGUAAACAUGCCCCAUGUUUUUCUCAUAUCCUGAUUUCAAUCUUUAAAUACUAGAAUAGACUUCAAAUCCCAGCAAAAGAGAAGGAGAAGGAAUGUGAGAAAUCACUGAGUUGUUGAUGACAGUAGCUCUCCAAGUGUGGACAGACAGUCCUCAUGCACAUUCCUUUCUCCCUCUUCUGUUUCACCUGCUUAUUAGCUAGCAAAUAGAAUCAAUAAACACCCUUCCUCUUGUAUAUACUUUGUUUUCAGAAGGCUUUAAUAGAUUAAAAUCAUCAGGUGCUAAGUACUGAAUUUCUUUCCAACCUUUUUGUAGGGUGUACAUGGAAGAAUAGAUAAGGAUCCAAUUAGUGAUACGAAGGUUAAUUUUUAAUAUGCAGUUGGAUAAAUAGGUCCCUUUGGAAGUACCCAAGGAAAAUCAGAAAGUAGUUCAAUUUACCAACUGAGGGGCAAAGAUGGAAUCUUAAUUAUUUUUCUAUCUUUUUGUAGUGCGUGUUCAGUCACUUUAGUCGUGUCCGACUCUGCAGCUACAUGGAUUGUAGUCCACCAGUCUGCUCUGUCCAUGAGAUUUUCCUGGCAAGAGUACUGGAGUGAAUUGCCACUUUAUUCUCCAGGGGCUCUUCCUGACCCAGGGAUUUUGUAAUUAGCAUUCAAUAAAUAUAGUUGAGUCGAAUUUUUUUAGUUUUUAAGAAAUAUUUAUUCGUUUGGCUAUGCCAGGUCUUAGUUGUGGUGUGCAAACUCUUGGUUGUGCCAUAUGAGAA
ensembl:lincRNA